rnacentral:tRNA from 1 species
UGUUAGCUCAGCUGGAUAGAGCGCAUGACUACGAAUCAUGAGGUCGGGGGUUCGAAUCCCUCACGG